CAACAAUAACCCAUUCAGACCACCACCAGUAGCUCCGACAGACCACCCCCAAACUCUGACUCCGAUAACUCUUCCUGUUGGCGUCCUCCUCUCAGUGGCAGGGCUUUGAUUCUAUUCCAGUUGGGAAAGUGAGCUAUAAAUUAAUAUACAAACAAGGAAGGUAGAGGAGGCCUUAAACUAGGAGUCAUGGCUUCUAUGUCAUGUGGUGUUUGCCCUGUCAUUAGAGAGUGGGAUUGGGACUAUUAGUUAUCACUCAUGGCUUCACUGUUUCGCUUGAAGAUUUUUAACCUCACCUUUGUUGUGCUGUGCUCUGCCCCACUCUUUUGUUGAUUUUUCAUCCAAUUACAGCUACCAAUGUUAAAUAUUGUGAUAAUAAAAUUGACUAAGCUAUUUAGGUCCAUGGAGUAGAGAUUUCCCCUGAUCCUGUGGUACUCUCAACUUUGAUGAUGAAUUAGGUUCUUCUGCUAGGACUAGGAGGGUAUAUGCUGGACUGUUAUUGGAUGCUAGGGGUACUCUUUUGUUGCUGGCAAAGCCAGUGGAAGAGGCUUAUGCCACAAUUGGUGCCAAAUAUGUAAUUGCAGGAAAUCAGUUGUGCCAAGCCUGCAAAUUUGCCUCCUAUUGUUGGACUAUGUUAGUAUCUAAAUCAAACAAACUCAAAUUGUGUUAACCCAAAGCACUAUUAUAAGUCAGAUUUGGUAGUGCCUACAUAUAAAAUUUGGUCAACAAUUCAAGAUUCUCCCUUAGUCCCUUAGGUGCUUCAGUGAUUGUUUUGUUUUUUCUUAGUUUACUUUUUAUUAGACUUUUACUUGAAGUUUACUUUCUUCUAUAUUGAUUAUUGUAAAUAAUUGAGUAUGACUCUGUUAACUAAUUUUGCUAUAAGCAUCAUUUUUUUAUAA